CAGUAGCCGCGGGAAUACGAAGGGGGCUAGCGUUGCUCGGAGUGACUGGGCGUAAAGGGCGCGUAGGCGGCGAUCAAAGUCAGGCGUGAAACUCCUGGGCUCAACCUUGGAACUGCCUUUGAUACUGUCGAUCUGGAGUAUGGAAGAGGUGAGUGGAAUUCCGAGUGUAGAGGUGAAAUUCGUAGAUAUUCGGAGGAACACCAGUGGCGAAGGCAGCCCCCUGGGCCAAUACUGACGCUCAUGCGCGAAAGCGUGGGGAGCAAACAGGAUUAGAUACCCCAGUAGUCCCUGUCUCUUAUAC
rnacentral:rRNA from 1 species